CAAUCGAAAUCACAAGUUUUUUAUAUAGCAGUAUUAUAGCAAUAAACUGUAUAGUUAUAUACUGUUAGUUAUAUAAGCGCGUCUAGUUUAUAUUAUGUAAUUAUUUCGGCAUACCCGCGGUAACGGUGUUAAAUUUGAAAAAAAAAAAAAGAAAAAAUUAAAAAUCAACCGUUUACUCAAUAGCAAUGCUAUUUGCAUUUUUAGACACACUCCGAUUGUCCAAUAAUAUGAUAUUAUCCUUGUAAAAAUGCGUCGAUUAGCGUCGAAACAAUCGUGAAAAUUGUCGAUUUAUCGAAAAUAUAAUAUAUACGUCUCAGAAUUAUUAUUUUAAAUCGUACGGUAAAAUGUUUAUAACGAUUGAGUUAUUAAUAAGAUAUUAAUUUCUUAAUAUUUAACUGUCAUGUUGCAUUGGAGAUUAUUACUUUUUAUAUACCAGUAUUUUUUUUUUGUCCUACAAAUAAAACUUAUAGAGGAAUUUCAUUACGAAACCGGCAAAGGAGAAAAAAAAAUCACCCGAACUCUCGUGACACAAACGAAUAUAUAAAUAAUUAUUGCAGUCGGUGCAAU